AUUGAACGCUGGCGGCAGGCUUAACACAUGCAAGUCGAGCGGGGGAAGGUAGCUUGCUACCGGACCUAGCGGCGGACGGGUGAGUAAUGCUUAGGAAUCUGCCUAUUAGUGGGGGACAACAUCUCGAAAGGGAUGCUAAUACCGCAUACGUCCUACGGGAGAAAGCAGGGGAUCUUCGGACCUUGCGCUAAUAGAUGAGCCUAAGUCGGAUUAGCUAGUUGGUGGGGUAAAGGCCUACCAAGGCGACGAUCUGUAGCGGGUCUGAGAGGAUGAUCCGCCACACUGGGACUGAGACACGGCCCAGACUCCUGCGGGAGACAGCAGUGGGGAAUAUUGGACAAUGGGGAGAACCCUGAUCCAGCCAUGCCGCGUGUGUGAAGAAGGCCUUAAGGUUGUAAAGCACUUUAAGCGAGGAGGAGGCUACUCUAGUUAAUACCUAGGGAUAGUGGACGUUACUCGCAGAAUAAGCACCGGCUAACUCUGUGCCAGCAGCCGCAGUAA
rnacentral:rRNA from 1 species